UACGUAGGGUGCGAGCGUUAAUCGGAAUUACUGGGCGUAAAGCGUGCGCAGGCGGUUUUGUAAGCCAGAUGUGAAAUCCCCGGGCUUAACCUGGGAAUGGCAUUUGGGACUGCAAGGCUUGAGUGCGGCAGAGGAGACUGGAAUUCCUGGUGUAGCAGUGAAAUGCGUAGAUAUCAGGAGGAACACCGAUUGCGAAGGCAGCUCGCUGGGACGUCACUGACGCUGAGACGCGAAAGCGUGGGGAGCAAACAGG
rnacentral:rRNA from 1 species